rnacentral:tRNA from 1 species
GGUGUCGCCUAGCGGUUAAGGCAACGGACUUUGACUCCGUCAUCGCUGGUUCAAAUCCAGCCAUC